UACGUAGGGGGCAAGCGUUGUCCGGAUUUAUUGGGCGUAAAGAGCGUGUAGGCGGCCAGGUAGGUCAGCUGUGAAAACUCGAGGCUCAACCUCGAGACGCCGGUUGAAACCAUCUGGCUAGAGUCCGGAAGAGGAGAGUGGAAUUCCUGGAUGUAGCGGUGAAAUGCGCAGACGUAUCAGGAAGAACACCCGUGGCUAAGGCGGCUCUCUAGUACGGUACUGGACGCUGAAGACGCGAAAGCGUGGGGAGCGAACAGGAUUAGACU
rnacentral:rRNA from 1 species